rnacentral:rRNA from 1 species
AUACGGAGGGUGCAAGCGUUAAUCGGAAUUACUGGGCGUAAAGCGCUCGUAGGCGGCUUGUUAAGUCGGAUGUGAAAGCCCCGGGCUCAACCUGGGAACUGCAUUCGAUACUGGCAGGCUAGAGUAUAGUAGAGGCAAGUGGAAUUCCGGGUGUAGCGGUGAAAUGCGUAGAUAUCCGGAGGAACAUCAGUGGCGAAGGCGACUUGCUGGACUAAUACUGACGCUGAGGAGCGAAAGCGUGGGGAGCAAACGGGAUUAGAAACCCCAGUAGUCC